rnacentral:rRNA from 1 species
UGGGGGAUAUUGCACAAUGGGCGAAAGCCUGAUGCAGCGACGCCGCGUGGGGGAUGAAGGCCUUCGGGUUGUAAACUUCUUUUGCUCUGAACAAGGCAUGCCUUUGGGGUGUGUUGAGUGUAGGGGUUGAUUAGCGCCGGCUAACUACGUGCCAGCAGCCGCGGUAAUACGUAGGGCGCGAGCGUUGUCCGGAAUUAUUGGGCGUAAAGGGCUUGUAGGUGGCUGGUUGCGUCUGUCGUGAAAGCUCAUGGCUUAACUGUGGGUUUGCGGUGGGUACGGGCUGGCUUGAGUGCAGUAGGGGAGGCUGGAAUUCCUGGUGUAGCGGUGGAAUGCGCAGAUAGCAGGAGGAAUACCGGUGGCGAAGGCGGGUCUCUGGGCUGUUACUGACGCUGAGGAGCGAAAGCGUGGGGAGCGAACAGG